CAAAAGAAACAGGUUAAAGUUGAAAAAAGGAAGUGGUCACAUGACUCACACAGAGCGACGUGGAUCAGAACAUAAAGACGGAAAGGAACACAGAUUAAAUCAGAGCGGCGCCUGGACUCUAUUUGUUAGUGAGGCUCAGUGAGGUCAGUGAGGCUCAGUGAGGCUCAGUGAGGUCAGUGCGUCUCCGCAGGGUUUUUUUUAAACACAGGAAAACCUGUUAAAAACAGGUGAUAAGGUCAGCUGUGCAGAGCUGUGCAGAGCUGUGUACGCUGCGCUGCAGCAGAUGCUAUUUCAGUUCAUCUUUCCUGCUGCGUCACCUUGGACGUCACAGACAGGCCUGAGAGCAGCAUGGAGGCCUGUGAGAACGUUACACUGGUUUCCACUGAGUCAGUCUCUCUGUGAAACUCAGCACAGACUGGUUUGGAUCGGUAUGAGGCUGGUGGGCGGAGACUAUUGUGAUGAUGUCACUGCAUCUCUCCAGUGAAGGAGCUGAAAUUAGCGUGUUGACAGGGGUGUUGUGUUUAUAUCGAAGCCGAUCAGAGCCGGAGCUGAUGAAUCCUCCGCCCCCCUGACUACUGCAGAGUCAUGUGACCCGGGUGUGAAUGAAGACUGUGACCUUUCUCAUGACACUAAAAUCCAGAUGUUGGUGGGUGUCAGUGGGCUUUUGUGCAGUGAGGAAGAAAAGAAAGUAAAGUCAUUUUUCUGCUUCUUCACAGUGAGAUGGAUAGGUCAGAGAUUACAGUCAGCCUGGAGACAGUCCCAGGUGUCUCCCAGGUGUCUCCCAGGUGUCUCUCAGGUAUCUCCCAGGUGUCUCCCAGGUAUCUCCCAGGUAUCUCACAGGUAUCUCACAGGUGUCUCCCAGGUGUCUCUCAGGUAUCUCCCAGGUGUCUCACAGGUGUCUCCCAGGUAUCUCACAGGUAUCUCACAGGUAUCUCACAGGUAUCUCACAGGUAUCUCCCAGGUGUCUCCCAGGUAUCUCCCAGGUAUCUCACAGGUAUCUCACAGGUGUCUCCCAGGUGUCUCCCAGGUAUCUCACAGGUGUCUCACAGGUGUCUCCCAGGUGUCUCACAGGUGUCUCACAGGUAUCUCCCAGGUGUCUCCCAGGUGUCUCACAGGUGUCUCACAGGUGUCUCACAGGUGUCUCCCAGGUGUCUCACAGGUAUCUCCCAGGUGUCUCCCAGGUGUCUCACAGGUGUCUCCCAGGUAUCUCCCAGGUGUCUCACAGGUGUCUCCCAGGUGUCUCCCAGGUAUCUCACAGGUGUCUCCCAGGUGUCUCACAGGUUUCUCCCAGGUAUCUCACAGGUGUCUCCCAGGUGUCUCACAGGUUUCUCACAGGUAUCUCACAGGUGUCUCCCAGGUGUCUCCCAGGUAUCUCACAGGUGUCUCCCAGGUGUCUCACAGGUGUCUGCCAGGUAUCUCACAGGUGUCUCACAGGUGUCUCACAUGAGCUGUUCAAGAUUUAGAGACUUUCAAAUUGAAUCCAGUUUUAUUGAUAAAGCCAAUAUCACAGAUCACACUUGUCCUCAGAGACGUC